rnacentral:rRNA from 1 species
GACGAACGCUGGCGGCGUGCUUAACACAUGCAAGUCGAACGGAAAGGCCCUGCUUUUGUGGGGUGCUCGAGUGGCGAACGGGUGAGUAACACGUGAGUAACCUGCCCUUGACUUUGGGAUAACUUCAGGAAACUGGGGCUAAUACCGGAUAGGAGCUCCUGCUGCAUGGUGGGGGUUGGAAAGUUUCGGCGGUUGGGGAUGGACUCGCGGCUUAUCAGCUUGUUGGUGGGGUAGUGGCUUACCAAGGCUUUGACGGGUAGCCGGCCUGAGAGGGUGACCGGCCACAUAGGGACUGAGAUACGGCCCAGACUCCUACGGGAGGCAGCAGUGGGGAAGAUUGCACAAUGGGCGGAAGCCUGAUGCAGCAACGCCGCGUGCGGGAUGACGGACUUCGGGUUGUAAACCGCUUUCGCCUGUGACGAAGCGUGAGUGACGGUAAUGGGUAAAGAAGCACCGGCUAACUACGUG